GYGUCUGUAGCCUAGUGGUAAAAGGCAGCACUCUAGAUGCUGAGGUUGUGGGCUCAAAUCCCACCAGACACA
rnacentral:tRNA from 1 species